rnacentral:rRNA from 1 species
GUCUGACGGAGCACGCCGCGUGAGUGAUGAAGGUUUUCGGAUCGUAAAGCUCUGUUGUUAGGGAAGAACAAGUGCGAGAGUAACUGCUCGCACCUUGACGGUACCUAACCAGAAAGCCACGGCUAACUACGUGCCAGCAGCCGCGGUAAUACGUAGGUGGCAAGCGUUGUCCGGAAUUAUUGGGCGUAAAGGGCUCGCAGGCGGUUUCUUAAGUCUGAUGUGAAAGCCCCCGGCUCAACCGGGGAGGGUCAUUGGAAACUGGGAAACUUGAGUGCAGAAGAGGAGAGNGGAAUUCCACGUGUAGCGGUGAAAUGCGUAGAGAUGUGGAGGAACACCAGUGGCGAAGGCGACUCUCUGGUCUGUAACUGACGCUGAGGAGCGAAAGCGUGGGGAGCGAACAGGAUUAGAUACCCUGGUAGUCCACGCCGUAAACGAUGAGUGCUAAGUGUUAGGGGGUUUCCGCCCCUUAGUGCUGCAGCUAACGCAUUAAGCACUCCGCCUGGGGAGUACGGUCGCAAGACUGAAACUCAAAGGAAUUGACGG